rnacentral:rRNA from 1 species
UCGGGAAUUUUGGGCAAUGGGCGAAAGCCUGACCCAGCAACGCCGCGUGAAGGAUGAAGUCUUUCGGGAUGUAAACUUCGUAAGAAUGGGAAGAAUAAAUGACGGUACCAUUUGUAAGGUCCGGCUAACUACGUGCCAGCAGCCGCGGUAAUACGUAGGGACCAAGCGUUGUUCGGAUUUACUGGGCGUAAAGGGCGCGUAGGCGGCGAAUCAAGUCAGCUGUGAAAUCUCCGAGCUUAACUCGGAACGGUCAGCUGAUACUGUUUUGCUAGAGUGCAGAAAGGGCAACCGGAAUUCUUGGUGUAGCGGUGAAAUGCGUAGAUAUCAAGAGGAACACCUGAGGCGAAGGCGGGUUGCUAGGCUGACACUGACGCUGAAGCGCGAAAGCUAGGGUAGCAAA